rnacentral:rRNA from 1 species
AUGAACCAUUUUGCUACUACCGUUUCGAUUUUUUGUUACUACCGGUGUUUGUCGAUUUUUGCUACAUCCAUCUUCUGUUUUUCCUGUCUUUUUUGCUACAACCAUAUUUUGUUUUUGCUGGAACUGAAGACAUUUUUUGCUACAUCCACCAACGGCGAUGUUGCCCAACGGCGGCGAUGGCUUUUUUUUUGCUACAACCGUCUCGGAUUUUUGCUACUACCGGAGAUGCCAUUUGCUACCACCGGAGUUUUUGCUACUGCCAAAGUCUUCCUCGAAGCAUCAGGGAGUUUUUGCUACCACCCCUUGUUUUUGUUUUGUUUUUGCUGGAACCAUCCUAAAAAUUGCCACCACCAUCUUUUGAUUUUGCAGGAACUGCCAUUUUUUGCUUCGGUGUCGGCGGUGAAGGCGGGUGAUGUUUUGGUUCGUUGGCGGCGGUGA